rnacentral:tRNA from 1 species
GAGGGUAUUGCUCAGUGGUAGAGAGCAUCCCUGGCACGCAUGAGGUCCUAGGUUCAAUCCCCAGUACCUCCA